CGAUAAUGCUCUGAAAUGUUGAUGACCUAUCGAUAAGUCAUCGAUAUGGGUCUGAUGGCGAAGUUUCCGCAUGUGAGCUGGAAAGAGAGCGACAUUUAUUUGUAAACAAUAGGAAAAUAUAGAUGCCUUGCAGGAACAUGGCGAGUUCAUGAACGGUGGAGUAUUCUGGCGACGACAGAGUAAAGCUGUUGGGUCGAAAACAGCUGGCGACCUUUGGCAGAUUUUGUUGCUGCAAGGUUUUGCGAAACGAUCCGUUUUGCAUUUUUGUUGGUGUUGCUGCCCGACCGGGUUUGCUUGCAGGUAAGUAUUUGUUGAUUAAUUUAAUUUUUUGUUUGUUUUCAGGUACUGGUGAUUUGGCUUUGGCCAGUUUUGUUGGCCGCAUGUUGGUAUUUGGUACGUCUAGUGUAUAAAACCC